rnacentral:rRNA from 1 species
CAAAAGCGUAUAUUAAAGUUGUUGCAGUUAAAAAGCUCGUAGUUGAACCUUGGGCUUGGCUGGCCGGUCCAUCUUUUUUGAUGCGUACUGGACCCAGCCGAGCCUUUCCUUCUGGCUAGCCUUUUGGCGAACCAGGACUUUUACUUUGAAAAAAUUAGAGUGUUCAAAGCAGGCCUUUGCUCGAAUAUAUUAGCAUGGAAUAAUAGAAUAGGACGUUAUGGUUCUAUUUUGUUGGUUUCUAGGACCAUCGUAAUGAUUAAUAGGGACGGUCGGGGGUAUCAGUAUUCAGUUGUCAGAGGUGAAAUUCUUGGACUUACUGAAGACUAACUACUGCGAAAGCAUUUACCAAGGACGUUUUCAUUAA